rnacentral:rRNA from 1 species
GAAUAUUGCACAAUGGGCGCAAGCCUGAUGCAGCGACGCCGCGUGGGGGAUGAAGGCCUUCGGGUUGUAAACUCCUUUCGCUAGGGACGAAGCCUUUUAGGUGACGGUACCUGGAGAAGAAGCACCGGCUAACUACGUGCCAGCAGCCGCGGUAAUACGUAGGGUGCGAGCGUUGUCCGGAAUUACUGGGCGUAAAGAGCUCGUAGGUGGUUUGUCGCGUCGUCUGUGAAAUCCCGGGGCUUAACUUCGGGCGUGCAGGCGAUACGGGCAUAACUUGAGUGCUGUAGGGGAGACUGGAAUUCCUGGUGUAGCGGUGAAAUGCGCAGAUAUCAGGAGGAACACCAAUGGCGAAGGCAGGUCUCUGGGCAGUAACUGACGCUGAGGAGCGAAAGCAUGGGUAGCGAACAG